rnacentral:tRNA from 1 species
GGGGCUGUGGCUCAGUGGUAGAGCAAUUCCCUAGCACAUGUGAGGAGCUGGGUUCAAUCCUCAGCACCA